rnacentral:ncRNA from 2 species
UAAACACUUCGGGGCGAGGCGAAAACCCUCACCGGCGGUGACAGUCCGCUAACCCGCGAACUUCGCAAAACGAAUUUCCGGGCCGAACAGGCGCAAUUCCUGUACCGACGGUUAUAGUCCGGAUGGAAGAAGGCAGUA